rnacentral:lncRNA from 1 species
UCUGCCCAUGGUGCACAAAAGCUGUUCCAAUCCUCUGGAGGCCAGGAUGCUGGCACCGCUGGCUGGUAUCUGCUAACUGAGGGGAGGCCCUCCAUUGAGGAGAAUGGAACAAGAAGCAAGUCUGAGGAAAGUGAAGGGAGGGACUGAAGAGCUGCAGGCCCAGGAAUCAGCACCAGCUUGCAAAGGACAGAGAAGGGGAAUGUAAUUCCCAUUGUUCUUGGAAAGACACCGGCAGCCUCACCAGCCCAGGAGAACUGCAAGACCUACUGGGUAAAGACUUGCUCCGUGCAGCUGUCUGUAGCCUCCUGUAUACCUGGAUUGGCAAAGCUUAGGCUUCUCAUUAGCACUCUUAGUGAGGCCUGCCCCACUGAUUCCUUCUGUGCACAGUAGAGAGUCUGCACAGGCCUGGGGCUCUGUCCAAGGUACUGAAGGUCUGACCCAAUCCUGUUUACCAAAACUUCCCCCACUGCCACUUCACCUUUGAAUCCGAAGAGAAACUUUAACUGUGAACUCUGUAUGGUCUGCAGCAAAAGCCCCCGAGCACCAGGGUGACAGGCCCUUCAUGUGACUGUCGUGAAUGGGGUCACCUCCAUAAUCUCAACACCUGGGAGGCUGAGACAGGAAGACCGUCAAGAGUUCCUAUCUCACAACGCCAGAACAAGCGGAGAGAAAACCAUUGUCAGUAUUAUCUGGUAAUUUUCAUAAAGCAUUCUACUUUAC